AUUGAACGCUGGCGGCAGGCCUAACACAUGCAAGUCGAGCGGAUGAAGGGAGCUUGCUCCUGGAUUCAGCGGCGGACGGGUGAGUAAUGCCUAGGAAUCUGCCUGGUAGUGGGGGAUAACGUCCGGAAACGGGCGCUAAUACCGCAUACGUCCUGAGGGAGAAAGUGGGGGAUCUUCGGACCUCACGCUAUCAGAUGAGCCUAGGUCGGAUUAGCUAGUUGGUUGGGUAAAGGCCUACCAAGGCGACGAUCCGUAACUGGUCUGAGAGGAUGAUCAGUCACACUGGAACUGAGACACGGUCCAGACUCCUACGGCAGGCAGCAGUGGGGAAUAUUAGACAAUGGGCGAAAGCCUGAUCCAGCCAUGCCGCGUGUGUGAAGAAGAUCUUCAGAUUGUAAAGCACUUUAAGUUGGGAGGAAGGGCAGUAAGUUAAUACCUUGCUGUUUUGACGUUACCAACAGAAUAAGCACCGGCUAACUUCGUG
rnacentral:rRNA from 1 species